UACGGGGGGGGCAAGCGUUGUUCGGAAUUACUGGGCGUAAAGGGCCAGUAGGCGGCCAACUAAGUCGGACGUGAAAUCCCCAGGCUUAACCUGGGAACCGCAUCCGAUACUGGAUGGCUUGAAUUCGGGAGAGGGAUGCAGAACUCCAGGUGUAGCGGUGAAAUGCGUAGAUAUCUGGAGGAAUACCGGUGGCGAAGGCGGCAUCCUGGACCGACAUUGACGCUGAGGAGCGAAAGCCAGGGGAGCAAACGGG
rnacentral:rRNA from 1 species